rnacentral:rRNA from 1 species
GGUGAGUCGACCCCUAAGGCGAGGCCGAAAGGCGUAGUCGAUGGGAAAAUGGUUAAUAUUCCAUUACUUCUGUGUAAUGCGAUGAGAGGACGGAGAAGGCUAAAUCAGCCUGGCGUUGGUUGUCCAGGUGAAAGGAUGUAGGCAUGUAUCUUAGGCAAAUCCGGGGUACUCUAUGCUGAGAUCUGAUAGCAAGCUGUACUUGUACAGCGAAGUGGUUGAUGCCAUGCUUCCAGGAAAAGUCUCUAAGCUUCAGUUACACAGGAAUCGUACCCGAAACCGACACAGGUGGUCAGGUCGAGUAGACCAAGGCGCUUGAGAGAACUCUGCUGAAGGAACUAGGCAAAAUGGUACCGUAACUUCGGGAGAAGGUACGCUGUUGUUGGUGAUGGAACUCGCUUCCUGAGCUGACGACAGCCGCAGAAACCAGGCCGCUGCAACUGUUUAUUAAAAACAUAGCACUCUGCAAACACGAAAGUGGACGUAUAGGGUGUGAUGCCUGCCCGGUGCUGGAAGGUUAAUUGAUGGGGUUAGCGUAAGCGAAGCUCUUGAUCGAAGCCCCAGUAAACGGCGGCCGUAACUAUAACGGUCCUAAGGUAGCGAAAUUCCUUGUCGGGUAAGUUCCGACCUGCACGAAUGGCAUAAUGAUGGCGGCGCUGUCUCCAGCAGAGGCUCAGUGAAAUCGAAAUCGCUGUGAAGAUGCAGUGUACCCGCGGCUAGACGGAAAGACCCCGUGAACCUUUACUGCAGCUUGACACUGAACUUUGACCUUACUUGUGUAGGAUAGGUGGGAGGCUUUGAAGCUGGAACGCUAGUUCCAGUGGAGCCGUCCUUGAAAUACCACCCUGGUAAUGUUGAGGUUCUAACUCUGUCCCGUGAUCCGGGACGAGGACCGUGUCUGGUGGGUAGUUUGACUGGGGCGGUCUCCUCCUAAAGAGUAACGGAGGAGUACGAAGGUGCGCUCAGCGUGGUCGGAAAUCACGCGUAGAGUAUAAAGGCAAAAGCGCGCUUAACUGCGAGACCCACAAGUCGAGCAGGUACGAAAGUAGGUCUUAGUGAUCCGGUGGUUCUGUAUGGAAGGGCCAUCGCUCAACGGAUAAAAGGUACUCUGGGGAUAACAGGCUGAUACCGCCCAAGAGUUCAUAUCGACGGCGGUGUUUGGCACCUCGAUGUCGGCUCAUCUCAUCCUGGGGCUGAAGCAGGUCCCAAGGGUAUGGCUGUUCGCCAUUUAAAGAGGUACGCGAGCUGGGUUUAGAACGUCGUGAGACAGUUCGGUCCCUAUCUACCGUGGGCGCUGGAAAUUUGAGAGGAUCUGCUCCUAGUACGAGAGGACCAGAGUGGACGAACCUCUGGUGUACCGGUUGUGACGCCAGUCGCAUCGCCGGGUAGCUAUGUUCGGAAGGGAUAACCGCUGAAAGCAUCUAAGCGGGAAGCCUACCUCAAGAUAAGAUUUCCCUAGGACUUUAUGUCCUCUAAAGAGCCGUUCGAGACUAGGACGUUGAUAGGUUGGAUGUGGAAGCAUAGUGAUAUGUGAAGCUGACCAAUACUAAUUGCUCGUGAGGCUUGACUAUACAACACCCAAGCAGUUG